AAUCUAAAAGAAGAGAGAAAGAGAAGCGGUCAAACGUCAUCACCUGCGACAAAGAGUUAAUAAUAUUACAUUGCUUCACUGUCACACAUUUCUUGAUUUGAUCAAAUUGAUUUUAGCGCCGAUAUUUUGCCCAAUUGGAGUUUUUUAUUCGUCGGUUUCUGUGUUUUUAGAAAAUGUGAACGAUAAAAGAGGAUAAAACUUGCAAGUGAUCCGUCGUGAUGGCAUCAGAGGAGGAAAUCAGCCUGUUGGUCAUCGUCGUGGACGUUAACCCUAUUUGGUGGGGCCAGCAAGCCCAGCGUGAGCCGGAGUUCACGCUGUCCAAAUGUAUGGACGCUGUUAUGGUGAUGGCUAAUUCUCACGUGGCCAUGAGCAGGAAUAACAAGCUAGCCGUCAUCGCCAGCCACUGCCAAGACAGUCACUUCCUGUAUCCCAGUCAAAGUCACCCAGACGGCAACGGCACCCCAGACGAUGCAUGCUCUAGCGGCGAUGGCAAGUAUGAGCUGCUGUCUAUCGCCAACGGCAUCAUUGCUGACCGGAUCAGAAACUUGAUGUCCAACAUUGAAGUGACAGGAGGUUCCACAGACACUUUGCUCGCUGGAUCCCUCGCCAAAGCUCUCUGCUAUAUUAACAGAGUCUCAAAGGAACUUGAAGGUACUUCCAUGACUAUUUUAGUCAUAAAUUGUCUUUCAUGUGUAAUUUUUUUUCCCUUUUUGUCAGUGGGACAGGAGGUAAAAUCGCGAAUUUUGGUGAUAAAGGCAGCAGACGACUGCGCCCUGCAGUACAUGAACUUCAUGAAUGUGAUCUUCGCCGCCCAGAAGCAGAGCAUCCUGAUAGAUGCGUGCGUGCUGGAGUCGGACUCAGGGCUGCUACAGCAAUUGUCCUUGCUUCUUUCUGAACCGACAGGCUUGCGAUAUAACGGGAGGCUUGUACCUGAAAAUUCCCCAGAAGGCGGCUAUGGCUCAGUACCUGCUGUGGGUGUUCCUGCCAGACGGCGAGCAACGUUCACAGCUGUUGCUGCCGCCGCCGGCCCACGUUGACUACAGGGCGGCGUGCUUCUGCCACCGCAACCUCAUCCAGAUUGGUUACGUCUGCUCCGUUUGCCUCUCCAUAUUCUGCAACUUCAGCCCUAUCUGUACUACCUGCGAGACGGCUUUCAAAAUCCAGCUCCCACAAAUGGUCAAAGGCAAAAAGAAGAAAUUCAAAGCAUCGUGAUCAUUUUUUUCUAUUACCUCAGCAGCCGAAUUAAUGAAUAUUGUAUAUGAUCAAUCCGUUACAAUUUGUAAUUUUGAAUCCUGUUUAUCCAGUGAUGAAUAUUUUUUCAAAUGUAGAAACUAAAAAAAAAAAAACUAAAAAAAAACACUGUCUGAAUUUGAAAAGGUCUUUAUUUACAUGAAGAUCAAGAGGCUCAACGUGGAGGCAUGGGGACGAUCUUACAUCUGGCAAGAAAACAUGCAUAAUGAUGUGUGGCCAAUCAUAUUGUAAAUACACCGUGCUAUGAACUCACCCCAUCAGACCCUGGCCAGACCACCGCUGCGGAGUCAAGCUCAUGUGGGUUUUCUGAUCUCCGCGCACCACUGUUACGCGCAGCGGCUUCUGAGAAAAACAAAAUAAAACAGUAUUGCUGCACUUA